GGCGUCCGGUGUGGCGACGGGGAUGGGGCGGCUCUCGGCGACGGCGGGGAAGAACCGGGCGGCGUCGGGGUUCGGCGACGAGGGCGGAGGCGCCAUGGUGCGCGACGGCAGCAGGGGGUGUCGAGCGGCGUCGGGGCGCCUGUUCCCCCGAUCCAGAUCGGAAGGGAGCGAGGGGGGCGAGCGGGGUGGGGCGAGUGGGGGUCUCGUCCCCGAUCCAGACUGAGCGGAGAGGAGGGGAUCGGGGCGAGGGGAUCGGGG
rnacentral:rRNA from 1 species